rnacentral:rRNA from 1 species
AUGAACGCUGGCGGCGUGCCUAAUACAUGCAAGUCGCGCGAACAGACGAGGAGCUUGCUCCUCUGACGUUAGCGGCGGACGGGUUAGUAACACGUGGAUAACCUACCUAUAAGACUGGGAUAACUUCGGGAAACCGGAGCUAAUACCGGAUAAUAUAUUGAACCGCAUGGUUCAAUAGUGAAAGACGGUUUUGCUGUCACUUAUAGAUGGAUCCGCGCCGCAUUAGCUAGUUGGUAAGGUAACGGCUUACCAAGGCAACGAUGCGUAGCCGACCUGAGAGGGUGAUCGGCCACACUGGAACUGAGACACGGUCCAGACUCCUACGGGAGGCAGCAGUAGGGAAUCUUCCGCAAUGGGCGAAAGCCUGACGGAGCAACGCCGCGUGAGUGAUGAAGGUCUUCGGAUCGUAAAACUCUGUUAUUAGGGAAGAACAAAUGUGUAAGUAACUAUGCACGUCUUGACGGUACCUAAUCAGAAAGCUACGGCUAACUACGUG